UAAGGAAUAUUGGACAAUGGGCGCAAGCCUGAUCCAGCCAUGCCGCGUGAGUGAUGAAGGCCUUAGGGUUGUAAAGCUCUUUCGCCGACGAAGAUAAUGACGGUAGUCGGAGAAGAAGCCCCGGCUAACUUCGUGCCAGCAGCCGCGGUAAUACGAAGGGGGCUAGCGUUGUUCGGAAUCACUGGGCGUAAAGCGCACGUAGGCGGAUUGUUAAGUCAGGGGUGAAGGCCUGGAGCUCAACUCCAGAACUGCCCUUGAUACUGGCAAUCUCGAGUCCGGAAGAGGUAAGUGGAACUGCGAGUGUAGAGGUGAAAUUCGUAGAUAUUCGCAAGAACACCAGUGGCGAAGGCGGCUUACUGGUCCGGUACUGACGCUGAGGUGCGAAAAGCGUGGGGAGCAAAACAGGAUUAGAUACCCUGGUAGUCCACGCCGUAAACGAUGGAGGCUAGCCGUUGGCGAGCAUGCUCGUCAGUGGCGCAGCUAACGCAUUAAGCCUCCCGCCUGGGGAGUACGGUCGCAAGAUUAAAACUCAAAUGAAUUGACGGGGGUCAUAGCUGUUUUCCCU
rnacentral:rRNA from 1 species